UUAAAAAUGUUACCUAAGUUAAAGAAUAUAAAGGAGGAGAAAACGCCGGUGGCCGCGGCCGAACCUCCACCACCUCUGUCAGCUGUGCCAGGCGGCUUCCUCAAACAGCUGGUCAGAGAUUCAGAGAAGGAGACCAAACACAAAGAGCCAGAGGCCAAAGACGAGAGACCACCAAACAAACUGAGCGGCAACCUCGUGCAACAGUUCCUCCUCCCAGAUCAGACUCCUCCCAUCCUCGAGGCUGAGAUGUCCCUCCGGGCAGAGCAGCUGAUCCAGAACAGCAAGCAAGGACGCACCUCGGCCCGGUCAGACAGCCAGUCCUCGUCUCACAAGCAGGUAGUCAGUCCUGAACCUGGCAAGAAACAAGAAGCCACGCAGGAAGUAACACCAGAGCCACCAAAGCAGCAACAGGACGUGAGGUCAGAGAACAGCAAGAAGACGCCACAGGCCGAGCAGAAGAAGGGGAGGAUAGAGGAGGUGAAGCAGUUGGUGAAGAAAGAGGAGGGGAUGGAGGAGAGGCAGGAGCCAGAGGGAAGGCAAGCGGACACAACCAUAACAGAGCGUGUCAGGAAAGAGGUGAAGGAUGUUUGGUAUGAAGCUGGAACUGUGUGGUUUGUCCACAAGGAUGGUUUCACCCUCGCCACUCAGCUGAAGCCAGAUGAAGGCACACCUGAACUCCCAGACGGCCGAGUGAGGGUCCGGCUGCAGACAGAUGGGUCGCUGCAUGAUGUUACAGAGCACGAGAUUGAGAAGUGUAACCCAUCAGAGCUGGACCUGUGCGAGGAUCUGAGCGACCUGCAGAGUGUGAAUGAAUGUGGAGUUCUGCACACUCUGAGCAGCCGAGCUAAAGCCAACAUGCCGCUCACGCAAGCAGGACCCAACUUGGUCAACUUCUGGCCUCCGUUACAGGCCCACAGCAAGACUCCAAAGUCUCGGCGAGGGGAGUCAGUGUGGGAUGCUCCUCCUGCGCUUUCCGCUCUGGUGAAACGGGUGUACGUGUCCAUGGUCGGCACCAGAAGAGACCACAGCGUGUGCGCAGUUGGUCGCAGCGGUACCGGCAAGACCACCGCAUGCCAGGCCUUCACACACGCUCUCCUCAAACAAGCCGGUACAACCGGAGAGAAGAUCAGCAUGGAGCGUGUACAGGCGAUGUUCACCGUCCUGAGGUCUUUUGGCUGUGUGAGCUCUCAGCACAGCGACGCUUCAUCUCGAUUUGCCAUGGUCUUCUCCCUGGACUUUAACCACGCUGGACAGGCUGCUGCUGGACACCUACAGACGAUGAUGUUGGACAAAUGGAAAGUGUGUCAGAAAACACAAGGAGAGAGUAACUUCCUGGUUUUCUCUCAGAUGCUCGGAGGACUCAGCACAGAGAUGAGGACAGAACUGCAGCUGCACCAGCUUUCUGAGUCCAACUCCUUUGGUAUCGUUCAUCCAAUCAAGGUUGAGGAAAAACAGCGGGCGUCCGUUGCCUUCACCAAGCUGCUGACUGCCAUGGAAACACUCGGGUUCUCAGCCAGCGAGCAGAAGGCUAUAUGGCAUGUUCUGGCUGGUAUUUACCAUCUGGGAGCUGCCGGGGCCUGUAAAGUGGGUAGGAGGCAGUUUGUGAACUUCGACAGUGCUCAGGUGGCCAGCAGUGUACUCGGCUGUGAGGGAGAGGAUCUGCACACUGCUGUCUUCAAACAUCACCUCCGACAGCUGCUGCAGAAAGCCACCGGAGGUAGCAGAGAGAGAAAUACUGAGUCAGAUGAGGGUCCCAGGUUGACAGCUGCUCAGUGUGUUGAAGGAAUGGCUGCUGGACUCUAUGAGGAACUCUUCUCUGCCAUAGUCUCACUUAUCAACAGGUCUCUGAGCGGUCAGCAGCUGACGUUGGCCUCCAUGAUGGUGGUGGACACGCCGGGCCUGAGGAACCCCAGACACUCUGCAGAGGAGCGAGCAGCCGGCUGGUCCGAGCUCUGUCACAACUACCUGCAGGAGAGGCUGCUGGAGCACUACCACACACACACCUUUACGCACACACUGGAGAGAUACACACAGGAGAAGAUACCCGUGGAGGUGGAGUGUCCCGAGAACAGCCCGGCUGAGGUGGUGUCUGCUAUUGACCAGCCGCCUCCACAGGUCCGAGCGGCAGAUGGAGACCCCAGAGGUCUGUUAUGGGUUCUGGAUGAAGAGAUGUUGACACCAGCCUCCAGUGAGAACAGCGUCCUGGAGAGAGUCUGCCAAUAUUACAGCAACGCUGUGCGUCAGUGCGAGCAGCCGCUGCAUUGUGAGGUGAACCACCUGAUGGGCUGUGACCCUGUCCGCUACGACCUCACCGGAUGGUUUGGUCGGAUCCAGAACAACCCGUCUACUCUGAACGCCAUCUCUGUGCUCCAGAACUCCACAAUAGGGGUGGUGAAGGCCAUGUUUACCCCCAGAAUCUCUCUGCCCCCUCUGUGCCGAGGUCUUGGGGGUCUGGAGGGCGGCAGCCAGCGCUCUCUGCAGAGGAACGGCACCAUCAGGAAAACAUUCAGCGGAGGGAUGGCAGCCAUACGCAGACUCUCCCAAUGUAUUGCAGUAAAACUACAGGCAGAUGCUCUAGUGAACCUCAUUCGUCGAGCCAGGCCGGUGUUCCUGCAGUGUGUGAGUGCAAAGACAGACAGUGGAAGUCUUGACGUCCCGGCUCUCAGAGUCCAGCUGCACUCCACGCAGAUCCUGUCGGCCCUGCAGCUCCACCGCACAGGUUUUCCAGAGCACAUGACUUUCAGUGACUUCAGGUGUCACUUCCAGGCGUUGUCUCCUCCAAUUAUGAAACGUUACGCUUCAAUGUUUGUUAGCCACGAUGAAAGAAAGGCGGUGGAGGAGUUACUGGCUGAGUUGGAUCUGGAUAAAAGGAGCAUCGUGCUGGGCGCCAGCAGGGUGUUCAUGAAGCGAGGUGUGCUGCGCUACCUGGAGCAGCAGAGGGACCAGCAGGUGACCGGCUGGUUGGUCUAUCUACAGGCCUCCUGCAUGGGACAUCUGGCCCGUCAGAAAUAUCGCAAGCUCAAGGUGCAGCAGAUGGCGGUCAGGUGUCUGCAGAGGAACCUGCGCGCUCUGAGGGUCGUGUCCAAGUGGAGCUGGUGGAAACUUUUCUGCAGAGUGCGUCCUCAACUCGACGUCAACAUGGACAACGAACGGCUCAGAGCUAAAGAGGAUGAGAUAUCUGCUCUGAGACGACGCCUGGAGAAAUCAGAGAAGGAGAGGAAUGAGCUGAGGCAGACGGUAGACAGCCUGGAGACCAAGGUUACAGCUGUAACAUCCGAGCUGAGCGAUGAGCGUUUUCGUGGCGACGCGGUGGGUCAGGCUCUGGAUGUGGAGAGGGCAGAGAGACUUCGACUCAGCAGGGAGAACAAAGACCUGCAGGCUCGUCUAGAUCAGUGUAAAGUCACCAUGGAAACACUGGAGAAGCAGCUGGAGGAGGAGAAACAGAAAGCCGAGAUGGCUGAGAGUCAGCGAGGAGCAGGGACAGACAGCGAGCUGGCCAUGCAGCUGGAGUGCUGCCAGACGGAGGUUGAAUUUGUCCGCAGACGACUCAAGCAGACAGAAGAAAAACUGGAGACGGAGAGACAGACCCGACAGCAGCUCGAUACCAAGGUGGCGGCCCUGCAGGCCCAGCUGGAGCAGUCCAGGCGGAGCGUGGCAGAACUGAAACGUCACUCUCGCCGCGUGACCUCUGACCUUCAGGAUGCCCGAGUCCUCACUGACAGCCUGCAGAGCCGCAUGCACGAGCUGGACCGCAAACAGAGACGGUUCGACAGUGAGUUGACUCAGGCUCUGGAGGAAGCUGACAAUGAGAGAGAGCAAAAGGACAAAGCCUUUCAGGAGAACACAGCUCUGGGGGCUGAGAUAUACACCCUGCGCCGCAGCCUACAGGAGAGCCAGUCAGAGGUGAGCCGUCUGCAGAAGCAGAAGGAGGAGUUAUGCGCUCAGAUCCGUGACCUCAGCCUGCCUGUUGAUCUCGCCGCCGAUUCACUACCUGACCUCAAGAAACAGCUUCGCCUCCUGGAGAGUCAGGCCAGCGAGAGAGGGCAGGAAAUCACCACGCUCACCGCCAAGAUACAGCAGCAGCAACAGAUCCACAUGCGUUUUGAGAUGGAGAUGGAGAGGAUGAAGCAGAUGCAUCAGAAAGAGUUGGAGGAUAAAGAAGAGGAGUUGGAGGAUGUACACAAGUCCUCUCAGAGGCGGCUGAGGCAGUUGGAGAUGCAGUUGGAGCAGGAGUAUGAGGAGAAACAGAUGGUGAUUCAUGAGAAGCACGACUUGGAAGGACUCAUAGCAACUCUGUGUGACCAGGUGGGACACAGAGACUUUGAUGUGGAGAAGAAGCUGAGGAGAGACCUGAAGAGGACUCAUGCCCUGCUGGCCGACGCCCAGCUGCUUCUUUCCACCGUCGACAACCCGGGGCAGAACUUACCCAACGGCAGCAGAGAGCAGAUAGAGCGCCUGCACUGCCAGCUUGAGGAAAGCGAAGUGAGGCGGCUGGAGGCGGAGAGUGUGCAGACGACUCUCUCCCAGGAGCUGGAGAACUCUCAGAUUGAGCUGGAAAAUAUCUGCAAACAGAAGAGCAUGGUGGAUGAGCAGUUAGCCCUGCUGCAGCACGAGAAGGUGGACCUGCUGAAGAGACUCGAGGAGGACCAGGAAGACCUCAAUGAACUUAUGAAGAAGCACAAAGCCCUCAUUGCUCAGUCCUCCAGUGACAUCUCUCAGAUCAGAGAGCUUCAGGCUGAACUAGAGGAGGUGAAGAAACAGAGACACUCUCUCCAGGAAGAGCUGCAGCAGUGUGUGUCCAGGGUGCAGUUCCUGGAGUCGUCCACUGUGGGGCGUAGCAUCGUCAGUAAACAGGAGGCGCGUGUAUGUGACCUGGAGAAUAAACUGGAGUUUCAGAGAGGGCAAGUCAAGAGGUUUGAGGUGCUGGUGUUGCGUUUAAGGGACAGCGUGGUUCGUCUCGGGGAGGAGCUGGAGCAGAGCGCCCAGGCGGAGGCUCGGGAGAGAGAGAACGCCCGCUACUACCAGCAGCGUGUGCAGGACAUGAGGCUGGAGAUGGAGGAGCUGAUCCAGAGAGAGCAGGACAGCAGCCGCAGACGCAUGGAGCUGGAAAUGCAGUUGGAGGAGCUCAGCGCCGUCAGACAGGCGCUGCAGGCCGACCUGGAGACGUCCAUCCGCCGCAUCGUCGAUCUGCAGGCCGCCCUGGAGGAGGUGGAGUCGAGCGACGAGAGUGACUCUGAAAGCGUUCAAACUGCUGUGGAGUCCUUGACUCGAAAGAAAGACCUUGACUCGGUGUCCAGCGUUGGCUCCGUCGGGACGGAGGACGUUGGAGAGGGGAUUCGUCGCUGGUUAGGAGUGCCCAGGGGAGGGUCCCGGGGUGGUGGCUCUCUCUGUGGGGGCAGCCAAGGAGGGCGCCAGUCUGUCGCUGACACCAUGAGCACCUACAGCUUCCGCUCUUGCGUGGAUCCUGAUGACGAGGCCUCUGAGGCCGGAGGGGCUGGAACCAGAGGUCUCGGUCGAGCCCCGUCCUCCUCGGCUCUGUCUGAGCUGCUGGACGGACUUCGUAAGCGCAGGGCUGGCGGCGAUGCAGAAGACGGAGCAGGCAGCGCCGUCUCCCUGCCGAUUUAUCAAACAACCGCAGCCUCGACUCUCAGACGGAGAGCCUCAGCCCUCUCUCUCGGCCCUGAAGACCUCCAGCAGGCCCGGCCCGGCCCCGGCAUCCUCAAACCGCCCUCCCCGCUCCUGCCUCGCGCCGCCAGCGCUCGCUCAAUCGGUGACGCUCAGACAUCUGCUGCCGCCUCCACAGCUGGAGCUAAACCCUCUCGCUUCAACUCAGGUGAUUCCCUCUCUUCACUUCCCUCGCUGCCACGCCUCUCCUCCUUGGCGUCCUCCCUCACCGCUCGCCAUCAACCCCCCUCCCUGUCCAUCCCAGAGGAGGACCCAGAGGAUUCCCGCCGCUCCUUGACGACUCCCAUCCAGCGCUCCCCUCAGGCACUAAGGCGGAGCAUGCUGGGAAGUCUCGUUACAGAGGAUGGAGGUGAAGGCUCUCUGGGUUCAGAACCUAUUGUCUUCCAAAACCGCCGCCUGGUUGGGGUUAACGGGCGUGACGACGCGGCCUCCGACAUCCUGCCCGCCAUCCGAAGGGCUCAGUCCACCAGCAGCCUGGCCAGCUCAGUCAGAGGAGGCAGGAGGGCGCUGAGCGUCCACUUCGGAGAGCUGCCUCCUUCGAGCCGCAGCAGGAAAAGCUCUGAAACGGAGUCCUCCAGCUCCGGUGGGUCAGGAGGAAGCUCCCAAGGCGGGGGGCCCAGACGCCGGUAUGAAAGGCCGCAGGGAGAAAGACUGGAGGCGGAGGGCAGUGAGGGGGGAGACGUGGCUUCAGUCAUGAAGAGAUACCUGAAAAAGGAGAGUGACUGAACCAGACGAGGUGAGUUCCCAGAGGCAAUCGAACGUGGUGUUAUUUGUCAACAACACCCUGCGCUACAGUGAAUUCACACCUGGGAGCUGCCCAGUGUGACGCUGGACACAUGCAGCAGCUGAAGGAGCUCAGGGACGGUGUGCACUCUUAAAGAUAAAAUAAGCCGUUUGUGUGUGGAGGUUAAGGCCAAACUGUCAGAGCGUCGCUGGAUAUGUUUCCUAUGUUCUUCAUCCCCAUCUGUUGCUCUGCAUGAGCCGAGCCAGAGUUCAGCUAGAGACUGCAUAAAAGAAGUGGACGCUGCCACCGUGACGUCAUCAGUUGGUUUCCGGACCGACGUUUUGAAACCUCGAGUUUGGAAUUUUGGCCGCCGCCAUCUUGGGGUUUUCUUUGG